rnacentral:rRNA from 1 species
CCUACGGGUGGCAGCAGUGAGGAAUAUUGGUCAAUGGACGAGAGUCUGAACCAGCCAAGUAGCGUGAAGGAUGACUGCCCUAUGGGUUGUAAACUUCUUUUAUAUGGGAAUAAAAUGUUCCACGUGUGGGAUUUUGUAUGUACCAUAUGAAUAAGGAUCGGCUAACUCCGUGCCAGCAGCCGCGGUAAUACGGAGGAUCCGAGCGUUAUCCGGAUUUAUUGGGUUUAAAGGGAGCGUAGGUGGAUUGUUAAGUCAGUUGUGAAAGUUUGCGGCUCAACCGUAAAAUUGCAGUUGAAACUGGCAGUCUUGAGGACAGUAGAGGUGGGCGGAAUUCGUGGUGUAGCGGUGGAAUGCUUAGAUAUCACGAAGAACUCCGAUUGCGAAGGCAGCUCACUGGACUGCAACUGACACUGAGGCUCGAAAGUGUGGGUAUCAAACAGGAUUAGGUACCCCUGUAGUC